rnacentral:rRNA from 1 species
GUCGCACGAGAAAGUGGAGCAAUCCAUGAGUACAGUGGCGCACGGGUGAGUAACACGUGAAUAAUCUACCUCCGAGUGGGGAAUAACUUAGGGAAACCUGAGCUAAUACCGCAUAACACUUACGAGUCAAAGCAGCAAUGCGCUUGGAGAGGAGUUCGCGGCAGAUUAGUUAGUUGGCGGGGUAAUGGCCCACCAAGACGAUGAUCUGUAUCCGGCCUGAGAGGGCGCACGGACACACUGGAACUGAAACACGGUCCAGACUCCUACGGGAGGCAGCAGUGGGGAAUUUUGCGCAAUGGGGGAAACCCUGACGCAGCAACGCCGCGUGGAGGAUGAAAUCCCUUGGGAUGUAAACUCCUUUCGAUCGGGACGAUUAUGACGGUACCGGAAGAAGAAGCCCCGGCUAACUUCGUGCCAGCAGCCGCGGUAAUACGAGGGGGGCGAGCGUUGUUCGGAAUUAUUGGGCGUAAAGGGUGCGUAGGCGGUUUGAUAAGUCUGAUGUGAAAUCUAUGGGCUCAACCCAUAGUCUGCAUUAGAAACUGUCGGGCUUGAGUAUGGGAGAGGUGAGUGGAAUUUCCGGUGUAGCGGUGAAAUGCGUAGAUAUCGGAAGGAACACCUGUGGCGAAAGCGGCUCACUGGACCAUUACUGACGCUGAUGCACGA